CUUUACUACAGCUUUGUACUGGCAUUAGGACGCAAUUGCGUAGGAUAGGCGGGACGCUUUGAAGUCCGGAUUUUGGUCCGGAUGGAGCGGUCGGUGAAAUACCGCCCUGUUUCGUUUUAAUGUCUAACUUGCCUCUGUGAAACCAGGGGGAGGACAGUGCAUGGUGGGUAGUUUGACUGGGGUGGUCGCCUCCCAAAUUGUACCGGAGGCGCACGAUGGUUUGCUCAGGUUGGUCGGAAAUCAACUGGUGAGUGCAAUGGCAUAAGCAGGCCUGACUGCAAGGAGGACACUCCGAGCAGAGACGAAAGUCGGUCAUAGUGACCCGGUAACUUCCGCAUGGAAGGGUUAUCGAACACGGAUAAAAGCUA
rnacentral:rRNA from 1 species